rnacentral:rRNA from 1 species
UAAAGAAUUUCGGUCAUCGAUGGGGAUGCGUUCCAUUAGCUAGUUGGCGGGGUAACGGCCCACCAAGACAUCGAUGGAUAGGGGUUCUGAGAGGAAGGUCCCCCACAUUGGAACUGAGACACGGUCCAAACUCCUACGGGAGGCAGCAGUGAGGAAUAUUGGUCAAUGGGCGCUAGCCUGAACCAGCCAAGUAGCGUGAAGGAUGACUGCCCUAUGGGUUGUAAACUUCUUUUAUAUGGGAAUAAAGUGCAGUAUGUAUACUGCUUUGCAUGUACCUUAUGAAUAAGGAUCGGCUAACUCCGUGCCAGCAGCCGCGGUAAUACGGAGGAUCCGAGCGUUAUCCGGAUUUAUUGGGUUUAAAGGGAGCGUAGGCGGGUUGUUAAGUCAGUUGUGAAAGUUUGCGGCUCAACCGUAAAAUUGCAGUUGAUACUGGCAUCCUUGAGUACAGUAGAGGUAGGCGGAAUUCGUGGUGUAGCGGUGAAAUGCUUAGAUAUCACGAAGAACUCCGAUUGCGAAGGCAGCCUGCUGGACUGUAACUGACGCUGAUGCUCGAAAGUGUGGGUAUCAAACAGGAUUAGAUACCCUGGUAGUCCACACAGUAAACGAUGAAUACUCGCUGUUUGCGAUAUACAGUAA